rnacentral:lncRNA from 1 species
AGAGGCAGUCAUAGGGCCCAGGCAGGCCACUCUGUGGAAGAGCUCAAAGGGGAGCCUUGACCCUCCAGUCCAAGAGAGAAAGAAGGCAAUAACCCUACACCCAGAAACAGCAGCAGCACAUGUCUUGGGUAUUGGAGUAAGGAAGCCCAGGACCAGUAGAGCAAAAGGGAGUGGAGAAGCUGUGAGCCGGUGUUGCUUGCUUAGCCUGCGUUAUAUGAAAGAGGUUGGAAAAUGAGUAUAAGAAGCUACAAAAGGGAGUUGCCUUUCUUUGGCUGUGGUGUGAGUAAGGCAGCUUACAGAAGAAGCGGUUUUAUUUUGGAGCUAAAGGUUGGAGUCCACCGUGGCAGCUAGUGGCUAGCUGGGGCAGUGGCUGAGAGCUCCCAUCUGGGACACCAAACGGGAAGCAGAGAGUGAACUUGAACUGGUGCGAAUCCUUACUAGUCUCAAGUCUGCUCUGGUGACAUCCUUCCUCGGGCUGCACUGAUAAUUCGUCCCACAGAGCCACCCACUAAGGAGCCUGUAUUCAAAUGUCUGAGACUUCUGAGGGACAUCUCAUUCAAAUGAUCACAAAUUUAUAAGUUAUUGUUAUAUAUACUAUAUAUUAUAAACACAUUUUAUAUACUAUUACAGAUGCAUUUUAUAUAUAUUUCAAAUGCUAUUAUAAAGUUACUACUAUACAUACUAUAAAUUACAUAUAUUCUAUAUACAGUUUCAAAGUUACUAUUCUAUAGACACACCUAUGCAUACACAUUUGCAAAUAAAGACAAUAACAACUGCUGGU